GCCAGGCGUGGUGGCGCAUGCCUGUAAUCCCAGCUACUCGGGAGGCUGAGGUGGGAGGAUCGCUUGAGCCCAGGAGUUCUGGGCUGUAGUGCGCUAUGCUGAUCGGGUGUCCGCACUAAGUUCGGCAUCAAUAUGGUGACCUCCUGGGAGCGGGGACCACCAGGUUGCCUAAGGAGGGGUGAACCGGCCCAGGUCGGAAAUGGAGCAGGUCAAAAACUCCCGUGCUGAUCAGUAGUGGGAUUGCACCUGUGAAUAGCCACUGCACUCUAGCCUGGGCAACAUAGUGAGACCCCAUUUCU
rnacentral:SRP_RNA from 1 species